AGCUAGUUGGUGAGAUAACAGCCCACCAAGGCAACGAUCAGUAGCCGACCUGAGAGGGUGAUCGGCCACAUUGGGACUGAGACACGGCCCAAACUCCUACGGGAGGCAGCAGUGGGGAAUAUUGCACAAUGGGCGAAAGCCUGAUGCAGCAACGCCGCGUGAGGGACGACGGCCUUCGGGUUGUAAACCUCUUUUAGCAGGGAAGAAGCGAAAGUGACGGUACCUGCAGAAAAAGCACCGGCUAACUACGUGCCAGCAGCCGCGGUAAUACGUAGGGUGCAAGCGUUAUCCGGAAUUAUUGGGCGUAAAGAGCUCGUAGGCGGUCUGUCGCGUCUGCUGUGAAAACCCGAGGCUCAACCUCGGGCCUGCAGUGGGUACGGGCAGACUAGAGUGCGGUAGGGGAGAUUGGAAUUCCUGGUGUAGCGGUGGAAUACGCAGAUAUCAGGAGGAACACCGAUGGCGAAGGCAGAUCUCUGGGCCGUAACUGACGCUGAGGAGCGAAAGGGUGGGGAGCAAACAGGCUUAGAUACCCUGGUAGUCCACCCCGUAAACGUUGGGAACUAGUUGUGGGGACCAUUCCACGGUUUCCGUGACGCAGCUAACGCAUUAAGUUCCCCGCCUGGGGAGUACGGCCGCAAGGCUAAA
rnacentral:rRNA from 1 species